rnacentral:lncRNA from 1 species
AGCUGUUCAUAGUUUCAAACUGAGUCGGAACCACGUGGACUGGCACAGCAUGGACGAGGUCUAUCUCUACAGUGACGCAACAACUUCCAAAAUUGCAAGAACUGUUACCCAGAAACUGGGGUUUUCUAAAGCCUCCAGCAGUGGGACCAGACUUCACAGAGGCUACGUAGAAGAAGCCACACUAGAAGACAAGCCAUCGCAAACUUCUCAUAUUGUGUUUGUUGUGCACGGCAUUGGACAGAAGAUGGACCAAGGAAGAAUCAUCAAAAACACAGCCAUGAUGAGAGAGGCUGCAAGGAAAAUAGAAGAAAAGCAUUUUGCCAACCACGCAACACACGUUGAGUUUCUACCUGUGGAGUGGCGAUCGAAGCUUA